rnacentral:ncRNA from 1 species
ACAAGGCGAUGGAGUUCGCCCUUAACCGCCCCGAUAAAUCGGGACUAAUGACUCCUGUGU